rnacentral:rRNA from 1 species
AUGAAUAAGUUCAGACACACAAUCAGCAAGCUGGGUUUGCAUGACAUGCCUCUGGUGGGUAGAAAAUUCACUUGGUGUAAUGGGCAGGAACGAACCAUUAUGGCCAAAUUGGACAGAGUUCUGUUCAAUAACGACUGGGAAGACUUAUUUCCAAUCAGUGACCUGCUGCCCUUGAGUUCAAAUGUUUCGGAUCACUGUCCAAUGCUCCUAUCCUGCUCCUCGGGCAGUAUGAGGGCCUUCAGAUUCAGGUUCGAAAAUUUUUGGUGCAAAUUAACAGGGUUCCAGGAAGUAGUUAAAGAGGCUUGGGAAGAGGAGGUAGCCAGUUCGAACCCAAUGCAUGUCCUGAGUACUAAACUCCAACACACUGCUAAAGCAUUACGAAGCUGGGGUCAGAGGAAACAUAGUCCCAUGAAUCUGCAGUUCCACAUAGCUAACAAGAUCAUUAUCAGACUGGACACAGCGCAAGAGUCGAGAGUGUUAUCGUCUGAGGAGAGAAAGCUCAAGGGCUUUUUGAAAGGUAAAUGCUUGGCCUUGGCAUCCUUGGAGAGAGUUAGGUUAAGGCAAAGGGCAAAAAUCAGAGAUUUGAAGGAAGGAGAUGCAAACUCGAAAUACUUUCAUCUCAAAGCAAACGGGCGCAGAAGGAAGCAUCUUAUACCUUGCCUGCUAUCUGGGGAGCGCUUGGCUGCAUCCAUGGAAGAAAAAUUAAGUCUGGCUCAUGAGUUCUUUAAGGAAUCGAUCGGAACGCCGGCGGCGAGGCACAAGGUUAUUGACUUGGAGAAGUUGGGCCUUGGCAAGAUUUCGGAGAGCUCGUCUAGGGAGCUGGAGGCUCCUUUCUCUAGAGAGGAGAUAAAGAAGGUGCUGGAUGAUAUGCCGUCUGACAGGGCUCCUGGGCCCGAUGGUUUCUCUGGGCUGUUCUACAAGUCUUGUUGGGAUACCAUCAUGGACGACUUUAUGGCAGCCAUGGAGCACUUCUCCUCCUUCAGUGGGCUGAACACGUCAAUCAUCACGCUUUUGCCAAAAAAGGAGGGAUCGAUGCAGAUAACAGAUUUUAGGCCUAUAAACCUUAUACAUGGUGUGGCAAAGAUCUUUGCGAAGGUGUUGGCAACUCGCUUGGCCUUGCUUCUCCCAAGUAUUAUAUCCAGAGCUCAGAGUGCCUUUGUCACUAAGAGAUCUAUUCAUGAGAAUUUCAAAUUUGUCCGGAAUGCGGCCAGAGCUCUGCACCAGAAGAAGAAACCAUCUGUGCUCAUGAAGAUAGAUAUUUCAAAGGCCUUUGAUUCCUUGUCCUGGGAAUUCCUCUUGGAGAUCUUGAAGAUCAGAGGUUUUGGAUAUAAAUGGUGUUCCUGGAUCUGCGGCCUGCUGAGCUCAGCCUCAUCGUCGGUGCUCAUCAAUGGGGAGACCAGCAACCAAUUCGCUCUGGGGAAGGGAGUUAGGCAAGGCGAUCCCAUUUCGCCGACCCUAUUCUAG